rnacentral:rRNA from 1 species
UACGUAGGGUGCGAGCGUUAAUCGGAAUUACUGGGCGUAAAGCGUGCGCAGGCGGUCUGUCAAGUCGGAUGUGAAAUCCCCGGGCUCAACCUGGGAACUGCAUUCGAAACUGGCAGGCUAGAGUCUUGUAGAGGGGGGUAGAAUUCCAGGUGUAGCGGUGAAAUGCGUAGAGAUCUGGAGGAAUACCGGUGGCGAAGGCGGCCCCCUGGACAAAGACUGACGCUCAGGUGCGAAAGCGUGGGGAGCAAACAGG